AAUACGUUCCCGGGCCUUGUACACACCGCCCGUCACGUCACGAAAGUCGGCAACACCCGAAGCCGGUGGCCUAACCCGUAAGGGAGGGAGCCGUCGAAGGUGGGGUCGGCGAUUGGGACG
rnacentral:rRNA from 1 species